GGUCUUUUACGUCGGCCUUCGCGAGCGUCUGGGCGGGUGGUAGGUGAGUGGGUAUUGCGGGCUAGUAUCCGAGCAAAAGAUGGUGGCGCAGGCCGAGUUAAGAGCUUUAAUCCUGUGAAGACAUCUUAGUGAAGAGUUUAGAGUGCUGAGAGUUGAAAGCUUGCACGUGGGAAACGUGCGGCCGGACUGCCACAUGUACUGAGGUUGAGUCGUGACGGCCACAGGCUCCGAGUUUUGGCGUGAGGAACCGCUGAUCGGCCACGGGCGCCGAACUUGCUGGCCUCCGGCAUGUGCCUGAGCGGCGGCGGAAAAACCACCUUAAUUGGGGCGGAGGGUUAGUUUUAACAGCAAAGGGCCUUUACUAAAAUGGCGAAGGCCUUCCGUCGGCGUUGUUUUAAAAUGGGAAGCCUCGACCCUGUAUUGAAACUGAGCUGUUCGAAGGCGGCGUUGUGUGCAAUUCGGAUUAAUGAAGGGGAAGGGUUUUGUGUGGAAAAACGCCUUGGAGUGUGACAUUUCUGCGAGAAUGCUUAAAUACCGAUUUCCCGCAGGAACAAUGGCGCUGUCUUCAGUGGCACAGUGGAGCAGCUCUGAAGAUGCAAAGAUACACGAAAAAACUUCCAGAACAUCUGGGAGAAUAUUUAAUGGAAAAUCGCUUGGUUAAAACCUGACACUUUUAACAGUGAACAGCGUUCUGAGUGUGGACGAGUAGCCAGUGAAGAUAAUGAAUGUCGAAUGUGACUGACUAGCAGCUUCAUUUUGAAUGAGGGUCGCUGUCUGCCCAUUGAUAGAGGCCAGAUUGUCUUGGAAGUUCCAAAGUUGCAACGAUUUCUUUAGUUGAAUCCAUGGACAUGAAACCCACAGAUAUAGAGGGUUGGCCCGGUGCAGUGGCUCACGCCUGUAAUCCCAGCACUUUGGGAGGCCAAGGCGGGUGGAUCACCUGAGGUCAGAAGCUUGAGACCAGCCUGGCCAACAUGGGUACUGCUUUCUCUUGCUGCAGCUUGCUUCCUCCCUCAGGUAUGAAGUUAAGCUACUCGGGAGGCUGAGGCAGGAGAAUCGCUUGAACCCGGGAGGCGGAGGUUGCCAUGAGCCGAGAUUGCGCCACUACACUCCAGCCUGGGCAACAAAAGCGAAACUCCAUCUCAAAAAAAAAAAAAAGGCAUAUAAAAUUAUAGCUGGGUAGGAGGAAUAAGUUCUAGUGUUCUACACCACUGUGGGAUGACUAUAGUUAACAAUAAUACAUACUUUCAGGUAACAUGAAGGAGGAUAUUGAAUGUUCCUAACACAAAGAAAUGAUAAAUGUUUGAGAUGGUGGAUGUACUAAUUGCCCUGAUCUGAUGACUAUACAUUAUAUAUAUUGAAACAUCAGUAUGUACCCCAUGAAUAUGUACAAUUAUAUGUCAACUUAAACACAUUUAAAAGUAAAAAAAAAAAAAUCCAAAACACGCAAGGAACUGAGCCAGCACGAAUAAGAAUUAGCAAAAUCUUCAAACCUCAAGACCAGACUCACAAGGACUUCAGAUACAGAAAUUUUAAAUAAAAAUUAUAAAAUGAGUAUGUUAAAAUGUUUAAAGAAAUAAAGGAAGGCAUUGGUAUAUGAUACAGAAAUAAAAGACCAUCAAAAAUAAUUUGGAUGACAUGAAAACAAUCAAAUAGACAUUCUGGAAAUAAAACAUAUAUAAUGGACAGGAGUGAAUGUCCCUAGGCUCCUGACCUCUCUGCAUUUGCAAGUAGUCUGAGCCAGAAAACGCUGAAAGACCUCAGAAGCCAAGUGGAAGCCCCACAGUGAAGCCAGGAGGGCCUUCAUUUCAGACUCAGCAGCUGCCCACGGUGGUGGCUGACACACUGCUGUAGCAUGUGUGCUGCCUGAACACUCACUGGCCACCCCCACAGCCCAGAGCACUGGCAUCAUCUGUACUAUCGGCCUAGUUUCCUGAUUGGUGGAAAUGUUGAUGAUUAAGUCUGGAAUUAAUAUGGCUUGUCUGAACUUACGAGUACCACGCAGAGACCAUCAGGAAUGUGUGCACAACUAUGGAAAGCCUUGCUUCUGACCCCAAUCUCUAGCGGCUAGUUGCUGUGGCUCUGGACACUAACGGGCCUGAGAUCUGAACUGGGCUCACACAGAGCAGUGUCCCCAUGGAGGUGGAGCUGAAGAAGGGAGCCACCUUCAGAUCACACUGGAUAAUGCCUACAUGGAAAACUUAUGAUGAGAACUUCCUGUAGCUGGACUACAAGAACAUUUGUAAGGUAGUGGAAAGGGGCAGCAAGAUCUAUAGAUUUAAUAACUUAUUUCUCUGCAGUUGGAGCAGAAAGGUACUGACCUCCUGGUGAUAGCAAUGGAAAAUUAUGGCUCCUUGGGCAGCAAAAAGGGUGUAGACCUUCCUGGUGACUGUGGACCUGCUUGCCAUGUCAGAAAAGGACAUCCAGGAUCUGAAGUUUGGGGUAGAAUGGGAUGUGGAUAUGGUGUUUGCCUCUUUCAUCCAUGUGGCAUCUAAUGUCCAUGAAAUUAGAAAGGCAAUUAUUGCAAACUGGAGCAAGGUGCCCACUUGCCCACCAGAGUUAGGCUCUUACCUUCCCAGAGGAACUGAGACCCACAGCUAUUUUUAUAUAUCUUACAGUUCAGAUCAGAUACAAAUAUGUAAACCUCUACAUUAUUUCUAUGUAGAAAUUAUGAUACUCUUUAAGCCUGUCACAGAUUUUGUUAUUUAAUGCAAAGAAGCACAUAUAUUACUAUGGGACACUUUUGGUUUGUUUAAAUAUUUUGAUAGUUGUAUUUUAAUGUAAAGGGUUUCAUUUGUAAUCUUAUACAGAUGGUCCCCAACUUACAAUGGUUCAACUUAUGAUUUUUCAUCUUUACAACGGCAUGAAAGCAAUACAUUUUCAGUAGAAACUGUAGGUCAAAUACUCAUACAACCAUUCUGUUUUUCACUUUACUGCAGUAUUUAAUAAACAUAUGAGA
ensembl:lncRNA SNHG5 small nucleolar RNA host gene 5